rnacentral:rRNA from 1 species
UGGGGAAUAUUGCACAAUGGGCGCAAGCCUGAUGCAGCGACGCCGCGUGGGGGAUGAAGGCCUUCGGGUUGUAAACUCCUUUCGCUAGGGAAGAAGCCACUUGUGGUGACGGUACCUGGAUAAGAAGCACCGGCUAACUACGUGCCAGCAGCCGCGGUGAUACGUAGGGUGCGAGCGUUGUCCGGAAUUACUGGGCGUAAAGAGCUCGUAGGUGGUUUGUCGCGUCGUCUGUGAAAUUCCGGGGCUUAACUUCGGGCGUGCAGGCGAUACGGGCAUAACUAGAGUGCUGUAGGGGAGACUGGAAUUCCUGGUGUAGCGGUGAAAUGCGCAGAUAUCAGGAGGAACACCGAUGGCGAAGGCAGGUCUCUGGGCAGUUACUGACGCUGAGGAGCGAAAGCAUGGGUAGCGAACAGGAUUAGAUACCCUGGUAGUCCAUGCCGUAAACGGUGGGCGCUAGGUGUGGGGGUUUUAUUUACGAUUCCCGUGCCGUAGCUAACGCAUUAAGCGCCCCGCCUGGGGAGUACGGCCGCAAGGCUA